AAUUGUUUUUGCUCAGUAAUUGAUCAGUUUUAAGUGAAUAAAAACUUAAGCCGAAUUGCUGAAAUUUUUAUUCACGUAAAACUGACCAUUUACUGUGUAAAGACAUUUGCUUUUUUUAUUUACCUGGCCUAAUAUUUCUGAUCAAUGUAAGUUUUUUUAUAAAAUGCACGAAUGUCAAAAACAUUCCAAGUUAAUGAUCUCCUACUCACAUCGUCCAAUAUAACCGUAGUUACAGAUUAUAAAACUUGAUUGAAUCAUUGUUGAAGAAAGAAAAAAAAAUGUAUUUCGUCACUUAAUCCCAGUUACUUCAAAGUAAGCUCAGCCAUUUAUGUUUGAGGUAUAAAGUACAUUUAAUAAAUGCACUAAUUACCUACUGUUGUCUAUCUUUGCAGGUGACUUUCUAAAUAAAUUUUAAAAAGUUUACUAGUGGUUUUAGAGGUUUCCAAUUAUUUAAAAUUUUGUUUAUUGAAAAUUUUGAAAUUCAAAAGCUUGGUUAAAAAAUGCGUUUUAUAAUUAUUAUGUUUUUGAUCUCGCUGAUUCAUUUUGGAAAUGUCGAAUGUGUUGUUGGAAAAACUUGGAAAAGUAUCGAAAACGAAGAAAAUUAUAAAAGAGUGACGGAGAUUGUUGUUGAUAAAUUAACUUCUAAAGUGAUGAGUAUGAUUGACGACGUGGAAUUGAUAAACGACUAUGAAUGACGCUAAGAAUGAUGAUGAAUGACGAUGAAUGAUGAUGAAUGAAUGAUAAUGAAUGACGAUAUUUCAUGAAACUGUAGCUGCAACUUUAUAACGAAUUUAAGAAAAGCUAAAACAACAAAA